rnacentral:lncRNA from 1 species
GGAACCCAGUUCUCCUCUGCCAUCAGGUCCACCCUGGCUGCCUGGGGCGACCAGCGAGCGGCUCCCUGGAGCCUACAUGGAAAAAGAUGCUACCCAGGGACUCAGCAUUUUAAAUGGACUUGAGUCCGUAUGGCCUUGAGGGGCUCAGCUCCCCCCAGACCUGCACCUCGUUCUCUUCCUCUGUGGGGUGGGGCGCCACAGAAACCCACUCACAGGCUCAGCCAGGGCCUGGUGGCUCCUGAGAGGGCAGAGUAAGUGGCCGCUCUUGGUCGCUGCAGCUGCACAGGCACACACAGGUGCUCACAGGUGCACGAGCACACACAGACACACAGCCACGUGCACAGGCACACACAGGUGCUCACAGGUGCACAGGCACACACAGACACACAGCCACGUGCACAGGCACACACAGGUGCUCACAGGUGCAUGAGCACACACAGACACACAGCCACGUGCACAGGCACACACAGGUUCUCAAAGGUGCACGAGCACACACAGACACACAGCCACGUGCACAGGCACACACAGGUGCUCACAGGUGCACGAGCACACACAGCCACGUGCACAGGCACACACAGGUGCUCACAGGUGCACAGGCACACACAGACACACAGCCACGUGCACAGGCACACACAGGUGCUCACAGGUGCACGAGCACACACAGACACACAGCCACGUGCACAGGCACACACAGGUGCUCACAGGUGCACAGGCACACACAGACACACAGCCACGUGCACAGGCACACACAGGUGCUCACAGGUGCACAGGCACACACAGACACACAGCCACGUGCACAGGCACACACAGGUGCUCACAGGUGCACGAGCACACACAGACACACACAGGCGUACAUUGUCAGAGUCUAGGUGGCAGAGAUCAGGCGGGGGGGCCUUCCAGGUGGGGAGACGUGGCUGAGCCCCAAAGCCUGCUGCACAGCCCACCGGCUGGGCAGGACUGAAGCUCCCCCAAGGUGGAGGGGCUGCCCGUGGUGGGGUCUGUGCUUGCUCAGGUGGGCUUCCUCCUCCUGGAAUGCAGAGCGGUCAUGAGCUGAGCUAGACCAUGUGUCCUGGGCACACAGGAACAGGAGACACAUGCAACCCCAGCCACUGCUCAGCACUGGGGGCCUCCUGACUGGGAGGCAGAGCUCUGGGCUCCUGGCCUGGCUGGCCCUCCUCCCUCAUGACAGGCAGGGUGCUUCUGGGCAAGUGCUGGCUGCCCAUGUGGCUGGGGACAGAGGCUGGCCUCCCUCCCUUGCUUGUCCCCUCUGCCUACACAGCUUCCAAUUCCAGGGCAGGUCCAACCAGGCCCUGACCACCAGGGGCCAGCACCGCAG